rnacentral:lncRNA from 1 species
UGACAUUUUCCUAAAAGCCUAGAAAAAUUUCACAUUUGCAGAAAAAUACUCUGUUCCCAUAUUAAAUCUGAUUAAAAUUCAAAUCUAUAUUAACAUCUCAUUACUUUUUGAAAAAAGUGAAUGCCACACAAUGGAAAAUGCUCACUGUCUGUCCUCACUGCUUUUGUGGGCUUCUUAGCAAGGCUGUACUGGGAUCCAGGAGGGCUGAACCACAGCUACAUCCUUGUUAAAACAGUCACCCGGCAUGAAUGUUGGCCUUUAGUUUUUCCUUCCUUUCCCCUCUCCCAUCCCUACAUUGUUUCAGCUGCCAGCUCCCUAAUAUUUUUUUCUGAAGCAAGGGAAAGGGAAGGGCAAAAAUGACUUAGAAAGAAUAACAUUUCUUUCUAUGGACUUAAAUAGAACAUUCAACACAAAACAUCCUGUGUUUUCUUUUAGUUGAUGACACAUUGACUGUAGGAAUGAAUGAACUAAAAACCAGGGCUUGAUUUUCAAAUGGGGAUUAUUUUAGUUGCAUACUACCUGAUCAAGAGAAAGUUGUUCAACUAUUUUAAAUUAUAACCUGUUGGUUUCUCCUCUGUACUCCUGAUCUCCUUAUCUUGCUGUGUGUUUCUUUUCUCCAUUUUACAUAUCACCUUCUAACACGUGUUUAUUAUGUUUUUUGUUUAUUUUCCCACUCUCCUGGCCAUGAUGGAAGUCCAUGAGAGCAAGCAUCUUUGUCCGUUUGGCUCACUAUUGGAUUCCCUGUUUUAAAAAUAUCACCCAGCCCAGCAAAAAGUUUGGAAACCUUCAUCUAGAAAGUGGUCUAGCAAAGUGUGGUCCAUGGAUGAGUUUGAUCUGCAAACUGCUUGUUAUUGGUUCAUGACAAGGUCCACCAAUUGCAUUUUGAGAGCUCAGAUAAGCAGAGAGCAAUGCAAUUUGUCACGGAAGGAUGAUUAUGUAUAUGCACUGUCAUGUCUAUUUCCACGCCUAACUCAAAAGAGACACAGGGAGAAAGUGAGCUCAGCCUGGAUAAAUUGGAAGUUGUGAUGACUUCUAGGAAGCCUCAGGAAAAAGAAACAAAGACAACACUGGCCUGCUGCUCUCUGCAAUGGUGGGACUCUUGUGGGACAACUGUUUUAGGAAUGAAGGUGUCUACCCUCUCUAGAAAUGAAAAUGCAAGUUUGGCUGUGGUUAAGUAUUGGAUGGAGGCAAAAAGAAACUGACAUAUUUGCUUCUUUUCAAUUGUUUGAUUCACCCUGAAGGGCAUGGCUGCCUAAUUUUUUUUUCCAGAGAUAGGUGGACAGAUAAAGACAGGAAAGUAACAUCCACAGACUGCCCUCUGUGAAGGUGACAGUGAUGAGAGGAAUGCUUGAUCUGAACAUUGGUAAAUAAAGUGACCGCGUAUUUCCCUAGCCAGGAGAGCAAUCUGGCUCAAAAGAAACGAGAACAAUGACAUUACUGCCAGGCUGCUCCUAAGCCUUUGGCUAUUCUGUUCAGUGCACAUAAAAAGCAGUGAACAUAGCUGUGACCUCCCUUGUUGGCAGUAUCACAAUUCUUUGGGGCUCCACUUUGAGAAAUUGAGACCUACCUACCUUAACCCUUGGGGGGUUAAGCUUUCAGACUGGAAUGAUAACUGAACUAUUCAUUUGCAGUAAUUCUGGGUUUUGUGCAUAUCUUAAAAAGGAAUACCGGGCUUGCCUAUAUUCAUUACAACAUCCUCCCAGCUUUCAAA